GCCUUGACGGCAGGCCUAACACAUGCAAGUCGAGCGCACCUUCGGGUGAGCGGCGGACGGGUUAGUAACGCGUGGGAACAUACCCUUUUCUACGGAAUAGCCUCGGGAAACUGAGAGUAAUACCGUAUAAGCCCUUCGGGGGAAAGAUUUAUCGGGAAAGGAUUGGCCCGCGUUAGAUUAGAUAGUUGGUGGGGUAAUGGCCUACCAAGUCUACGAUCUAUAGCUGGUUUUAGAGGAUGAUCAGCAACACUGGGAC
rnacentral:rRNA from 1 species